rnacentral:rRNA from 2 species
UGCAGUCGAACGCGUUGGCCCNAUUGAUUGAUGGUGCUUGCACCUGAUUGAUUUUGGUCGCCAACGAGUGGCGGACGGGUGAGUAACACGUAGGUAACCUGCCCAGAAGCGGGGGACAACAUUUGGAAACAGAUGCUAAUACCGCAUAACAGCGUUGUUCGCAUGAACAACGCUUAAAAGAUGGCUUCUCGCUAUCACUUCUGGAUGGACCUGCGGUGCAUUAGCUUGUUGGUGGGGUAAUGGCCUACCAAGGCGAUGAUGCAUAGCCGAGUUGAGAGACUGAUCGGCCACAAUGGGACUGAGACACGGCCCAUACUCCUACGGGAGGCAGCAGUAGGGAAUCUUCCACAAUGGGCGCAAGCCUGAUGGAGCAACACCGCGUGAGUGAAGAAGGGUUUCGGCUCGUAAAGCUCUGUUGUUAAAGAAGAACACGUAUGAGAGUAACUGUUCAUACGUUGACGGUAUUUAACCAGAAAGUCACGGCUAACUACGUGCCAGCAGCCGCGGUAAUACGUAGGUGGCAAGCGUUAUCCGGAUUUAUUGGGCGUAAAGAGAGUGCAGGCGGUUUUCUAAGUCUGAUGUGAAAGCCUUCGGCUUAACCGGAGAAGUGCAUCGGAAACUGGAUAACUUGAGUGCAGAAGAGGGUAGUGGAACUCCAUGUGUAGCGGUGGAAUGCGUAGAUAUAUGGAAGAACACCAGUGGCGAAGGCGGCUACCUGGUCUGCAACUGACGCUGAGACUCGAAAGCAUGGGUAGCGAACAGGA